rnacentral:rRNA from 1 species
AUUGAACGCUGGCGGCAUGCCUUACACAUGCAAGUCGAACGGCAGCGCGGGAGCAAUCCUGGCGGCGAGUGGCGAACGGGUGAGUAAUAUAUCGGAACGUGCCCAGUAGUGGGGGAUAGCCCGGCGAAAGCCGGAUUAAUACCGCAUGAGACCUGAGGGUGAAAGCGGGGGAUCGCAAGACCUCGCGCUAUUGGAGCGGCCGAUAUCAGAUUAGCUAGUUGGUGGGGUAAAGGCCUACCAAGGCAACGAUCUGUAGUUGGUCUGAGAGGACGACCAGCCACACUGGGACUGAGACACGGCCCAGACUCCUACGGGAGGCAGCAGUGGGGAAUUUUGGACAAUGGGCGCAAGCCUGAUCCAGCAAUGCCGCGUGCAGGAAGAAGG